AUCCAGCCGUCUCCUUUGCAGGCCAAGAACCGUAGAUGACCAAGUGAACAAAGAAGCCUCUUGGUGCCCAGGAUCAGUCCACAACAAUCAGACUCUGUGGGCUCAACCUCCCUGCAAGCGGGCAGUGAAGGAUGGGUAUAAAACAGAAAGAGAGAAAAACUGCUCUCAGCCACCUCACUAACAGGUUUCAAGAUAUACGAACUCAGACAAUGAAAAGUAUCUGCAACUAGAUACAGUUUUCAUUCUAAAAAAAGCUCUUCCCACUCUUCCAUUUGCCACAUGACACUUCUGACCAGCAAUGUACAGACACAAGUAACAUUUGUGGGACCUCAGAGCCAAACAGUUCAGUUACGAAAUUGAAGGCCAGGAGAGAAGCAGGGACCAGAGGUCUAGAUUUGGAAGUUAACAGCAAAACUAUUGAUUUAAAAACCAUGAGAGUGUAUGAAAAUGCCCAAUAAUUGUGAGCUUGGUUAGAACAGCCUGGAACAACUUGGUGGACAUUAAUGUUUAAACAACGGGCAGCAAAAGAGGAGGAAGAAGAACUCAUGAGGGAGCGCACAGAGAAGAAGAGACCAGUAUAAAGAUUAUUGGUAAUUUUUUCCCAAGAGGUUUCAGUGGCAAGAUAGACACAAAAUUCAGAUUGCUGUGUGUUUUACAGUGAAACUGAACUAAGAAAGUAGUGCAUUGGUGAGUAGCAUCUGGAGUCUUAAAGCUUAUGAGCAGCCAUCUAAGAUAUUCCACUGGUCUCAUCCCAUCAGGAGCAAGUGAAAAUGAAGAAAACUAAAGAUACAAGGGAAAGAUUAGUC